rnacentral:rRNA from 1 species
AAGUGCUGAAAGCAUCUAAGCAUGAAGCCCCCCUCAAGAUGAGAUUUCCCAUUCCGCAAGGAAGUAAGAUCCCUGAAAGAUGAUCAGGUUGAUAGGUCUGAGGUGGAAGCGUGGUGACACGUGGAGCUGACAGAUACUAAUAGAUCGAGGACUUAACCUAU